UCAGCUCGUGUCGUGAGAUGUGGUUAGUCCGCAACGAGCGCAACCCCUACUUGUUAGUUGCCAUCAUUCAGUUGGGCACUCUAGCGAGACUGCCGGUAAUAAACCGGAGGAAGGUGGGGAUGACGUCAAAUCAUCAUGCCCCUUAUGACCUGGGCUACACACGUGCUACAAUGGUUGGUACAACGAGUUGCGAGUCGGUGACGGCGAGCUAAUCUCUUAAAGCCAAUCUCAGUUCGGAUUGUAGGCUGCAACUCGCCUACAUGAAGUCGGAAUCGCUAGUAAUCGCGGAUCAGCACGCCGCGGUGAAUACGUUCCCGGGCCUU
rnacentral:rRNA from 1 species